ACCUCUCCAGCUUUUGAAAAACCAGCAUGUAUACCAUCGUCGUCAGUCUACCUCUUAAGAGACGUAUACUCAAAGAGCCUAACUCUUAACGUCAGAUCGAGGUGCAGCUAAUAAACUGGGGGUUGGUGAACUACAAUAUUUAUACCCUAAACCAUCCAAAAACCAAUUAUGAACAGUACUAUGAAAUUAAUACCCAAAACAGGAUUCAGCAGUAAUACCCAAAAGAAAAUGGGUAUGAAACACACAGCUCUAAAAUGCGC
rnacentral:rRNA from 1 species